UAGCUACAGGCUUAACACAUGCAAGUCGAGGGGCAGCAUUUCAGUUUGCUUGCAAACUGGAGAUGGCGACCGGCGCACGGGUGAGUAACACGUAUCCAACCUGCCGAUAACUCGGGGAUAGCCUUUCGAAAGAAAGAUUAAUACCCGAUGGUAUAAUCAGACCGCAUGGUCUUGUUAUUAAAGAAUUUCGGUUAUCGAUGGGGAUGCGUUCCAUUAGGCAGUUGGUGAGGUAACGGCUCACCAAACCUUCGAUGGAUAGGGGUUCUGAGAGGAAGGUCCCCCACAUUGGAACUGAGACACGGUCCAAACUCCUACGGGAGGCAGCAGUGAGGAAUAUUGGUCAAUGGGCGCAGGCCUGAACCAGCCAAGUAGCGUGAAGGAUGACUGCCCUAUGGGUUGUAAACUUCUUUUAUAUGGGAAUAAAGUUUUCCACGUGUGGAAUUUUGUAUGUACCAUAUGAAUAAGGAUCGGCUAACUCCGUGCCAGCAGCCGCGGUAAUACGGAGGAUCCGAGCGUUAUCCGGAUUUAUUGGGUUUAAAGGGAGCGUAGGUGGACAGUUAAGUCAGUUGUGAAAGUUUGCGGCUCAACCGUAAAAUUGCAGUUGAUACUGGCUGUCUUGAGUACAGUAGAGGUGGGCGGAAUUCGUGGUGUAGCGGUGAAAUGCUUAGAUAUCACGAAGAACUCCGAUUGCGAAGGCAGCUCACUGGACUGCAACUGACACUGAUGCUCGAAAGUGUGGGUAUCAAACAGGAUUAGAUACCCUGGUAGUCCACACAGUAAACGAUGAAUACUCGCUGUUUGCGAUAUACAGUAAGCGGCCAAGCGAAAGCAUUAAGUAUUCCACCUGGGGAGUACGCCGGCAACGGUGAAACUCAAAGGAAUUGACGGGGGCCCGCACAAGCGGAGGAACAUGUGGUUUAAUUCGAUGAUACGCGAGGAACCUUACCCGGGCUUAAAUUGCAUUUGAAUAUAUUGGAAACAGUAUAGCCGUAAGGCAAAUGUGAAGGUGCUGCAUGGUUGUCGUCAGCUCGUGCCGUGAGGUGUCGGCUUAAGUGCCAUAACGAGCGCAACCCUUAUCUUUAGUUACUAACAGGUCAUGCUGAGGACUCUAGAGAGACUGCCGUCGUAAGAUGUGAGGAAGGUGGGGAUGACGUCAAAUCAGCACGGCCCUUACGUCCGGGGCUACACACGUGUUACAAUGGGGGGUACAGAAGGCAGCUACCUGGUGACAGGAUGCUAAUCCCAAAAGCCUCUCUCAGUUCGGAUCGAAGUCUGCAACCCGACUUCGUGAAGCUGGAUUCGCUAGUAAUCGCGCAUCAGCCAUGGCGCGGUGAAUACGUUCCCGGGCCUUGUACACACCGCCCGUCAAGCCAUGAAAGCCGGGGGUACCUGAAGUACGUAACCGCAAGGAGCGUCCUAGGGUAAAACUGGUAAUUGGGGCUAAGUCAUAACAA
rnacentral:rRNA from 1 species